rnacentral:rRNA from 1 species
AGUCCCUGACCACCUCCUCUCCUCGGAGGGGGGACCGGGGCAACAGAACCCACGGCGCCGACGGCGUCAAGGAACACUAUGCCUAACCCGAGGGUGUGGCUGGCUUGCUAGCCACCCCUCGUGUUGCGAUGCUAUCUAAACCACACGACUCUCGGCAACGGAUAUCUCGGCUCUCGCAUCGAUGAAGAACGUAGCGAAAUGCGAUACCUGGUGUGAAUUGCAGAAUCCCGCGAACCAUCGAGUCUUUGAACGCAAGUUGCGCCCGAGGCCACCCGGCUGAGGGCACGCCUGCCUGGGCGUCACGCCAAUACACGCUCCCACCUCCCUCAAUGGGUAGUGGGAUGCGGAUUCUGGCCCUCCGUGCUGUGAGGCGCGGCAGGCCGAAGAUCGGGCUGCCGGCGUAUCGUGCCGGACACAGCGCGUGGUGGAGUUCUACUUAGCGCAGUUCCAGCACGUAGCCGGCGUAGCGGCCCCAAGGACCCAACGAACGGAGCGCAUGUCGCUCUGACCGCGACCCCAGGUCAGGCGGGACUACCCGCUGAGUUUAAGCAUAUAAAUAAGCGGAGGAGAAGAAACUUACAAGGAUUCCCCUAGUAACGGCGAGCGA